rnacentral:ncRNA from 2 species
UACACUCGCACGCACUUUGGUGCUCGCGUGCCCGCUCGUGCGCAUGCAGUUAAACGGGAAACAGGGUGCCCGCCUGUCAUGGAUCGGGUCAACCUGUGCUGCCCCCGCAACGGUAAGCGAAAUGUGGUGCUAAGGUCAGUUCUUUAGCGCCGCGGAGCCGGCUUCGAUGUCCACGCGCAAGGCCGCGCGGGCAUGUCACCACUGGGCGAGAAAUCACUCGCCCGGGAAGGGGAAGCGGCGCUUUCGCCAGCCCGGAUACCGGCCAGAUACGAAGAAUGAAC